CCUUAAUUUAUUAUGAAAUGAGAAUGAACAUAUUGAGCAACACUUAACUCACCAAAAUGCUGGCUCCAUUGCAAUUACCAUUCCUUUUCUCUAUUAGACUGUAUUUUGUGCCACUCAUAUUCUGUAUUUGAAAGGCAUCUUUAGUUUUCCUAAGCAAAUUAUUAGGUUUUCAAAAAUAAGAUAACACAGUUUGGUUUUUUUGAAAAGUAAAGAGCCCCUUCUAGACUUUCCCUUCCCUUUGUUGGAAGCAGUAAGCCAAGAACAAAAGAAUCACAGUGGCAUGUCUAAAGCUUGGAGAAUUUGCUCAGAAAAGUUCCCCAAACACAGGUCUUUUAGGAGCCAGUAAAUUAAACACCUGACACACUGUCUCAUUGGCUCCAACACACAGGGUCAUCUGAUUAUGCCUCCUCAUAAAUGGCCAAAUUAAUCUCAAUCCCUUUAAAAGGUAUAAUUCCUGUAGAACCCAAGAAUAUGUGGUUAGUUACUGUCACUCCUGAAAAGUUCUGUUUCUCUGGUACUAACUGAUAAAGACGGGGAUUUCUCAAAGUCAAUCACUCAAAAUAAAGAACUGAAAUCCGUUUUAACAUACCUCUGGGAAGCAGAUCUACAUUAACCUCGUCUAGGACUUCUCUGGCAAUAAUAAGGUUUAAGAGAGUGCACAGCCACUGGUGAUUUCUGCAAGUGAUACAGUGAGGGGACAGAGACAAUGAGGCAAACAUAAAAUGGGACCUGGGAUUAAGGGAUCUUCCACUCAGCCAUGUGUAGAAUGUUGGAAAUUAAUGUGCUAUUGUUUAGCAGGCAGCUGUCAAGUUAUUGUAAUUUGCAAAAUGCUUUUUUUUUUCCCUCUUCUCCCUCACUGAAGGCAUGUUAGAAAUGGCUUCAUUUCUGAGGGAUGACAAAGUUAAUCCUAUCUUGAGUUCCAUUUGAAGAAAGUGACACUCAAAGCUUGUUUUGCAUUUAUCAAAUGAGCCAGUGAGUUCAACAUUUACUGAGCACCUCUGAAUGGAAGACUUACGGUUGGAUACCAGGGUUAUAAAGAUGAAUUGAGAACAGUCACUUCCAUCAAGAUAUUUAAUGUCUGGUGGGAGUUACAAACAGAGCAGAACUUUGUAAUUUUCUUUUCUGGAAAUAUAUGAGUAGAAGUCAGCAAAGGGUAGUAAGGGAAGACACAGGUGGACCUAAUGGGUGGUUUGAAAAUUUAAGAGCAAUGGAAUGGAGACAAACCCAGAGAAAGGAGACUAGUGCCCAGGCAGGGUCCUGGGCUGGGUAUGGGUCUCUGAGGUCUUUAACAUAUCCAGGGGCAAUCUGUGUCUCCACAGAAAUAUCUCACUGUAUUAGAAUUAUAUAACGGUGUUUAUUAAAUACAAUUUAAUUACAAGCCCUUGAGCAAGAACUGUGUUUUAUCUUCUAGCAUCUAGCAGUGUGUGAUAUCCUGUGUGCACAAAGUAAUCAAAAAGUGGCAGAAAUUUAGCCACACCUGAACAAAGAUUUUGAGAACACUAUUAGUGGCACAAAUCUAAGUUCAAAAGAAACAAAACACAGGGCUACGCUGUGAUACACAACAGCGGUUCAGAAGCUAGGACAGCAGUAAACGCUUCAGGAAAUGGGGAUCUAAGGUGGGCAAGGAGCAAUCAUCUGGCAUAUCGGCUCUAAUAAAUAGAGGGAUGCUUAGGAAUAGUUCAUAAGAGGUGGUGAAUUGUGAGGGUGCAGGGCCAGUUGGUAAGUUUACCAGUACAGGAGUUGUUCAGAUGAGCUGAGGAAAUAACUAACUAAAUAAGUAAACAAAUAACAAAAAGGACCUUCAUCCCUUUGCAUCCGCUUUAUGCCAAGGCAUGCCAGAAUAAUGAUUGCUUUAAACUUCCAUGACCCCUUCCCGACAUUGAUCUGCUGAUGAAAACCUUCCAAUCAUAAGGACUGCACUGCACCCCAAAUAGAAAUGCCAUAAAGUUUAUUUUGAUAAAUUGUACUCAUUCUGUACCUGAGAAGCCUACCACAGAUGGAACAUAUAUCAGAUGAUUACCUGGGUUCCCACUUGCUGAGGAUGUCCUGCUUGCCAGUUGGUCAGAAGUGAUCAGCCACUGCGGUCUUACUUUGAUCCAUUGCAUUUUAUUUUUUCUGCAGCCAAAGAACUUGGCGUCCAAACAGAAGUGUCAUCACUUGAUAAUGGAUAUACUUGAAUCAGCCAAGCUACCCAUUCAGCAGCAGGAUAUUUGACAGCCUUUCUGAUUAAAGAAAAGAAGGUUCUUGGCUGAGACUUCCCUGUAAUAAAAGAUGGAUCAACAUGAAAACAACAAACUGAAGUUUAGUAACAAGUAUACAUCCUGCGUACAUGGAAGAGACCCAAGAAAACUGUGUAACUCCCCACAGUGGUCCAAGCCAUCACCUUAAAUAUCCUCUCUACCUAAAGACAGAAGAAGAUGAUGCUGGGCCAGACUGGGAAGCCAGUUCUGGGAGAUUUUUAGACAAAGCACAGUAACCAAAGCUCAGCAAGACACAGCUCUGUUUACACUCUCAGGCCAUGAUCCAUAAAGUUGCCUUUGGCCUCAACUGACCCCCUUUCUCCAUGUCAGAAUUGGAGAGAAGAAACACUCACAAGAUGGAAUAAAGAAUUGAAUGGUCUACUUCUUGUUUCUGCCAAGUUAGUGUCUGCUACAAAAAGAGAAACAAAUGAAAAAAAAAAACUAAUUAACUUAAGUCUAAGUAAGUGCUUCUUAUUAAUAUGCAUAUGAAUCUCCUGGUGAUCUUGAUAAAUUUCUGCUUCACUAUUUCUGAGGUAAGGCCUGAGAUUCUGCAUUUCUAACAAGCUCCCAGGUGAUGUUGAUACUGCUUGUCAGAAGACCACAUUUUGAGUAGUGUGUUAGCAGAAUUUUAAUGAAGCCCCUCCCUAGCCAAGGGGAAAGGAGUUUGCUGUUGUAGUUAAAGUCUCAAGUCAGUUGACCCUACGAUGUGGAGGUUAUCCAGUGGAGCCUGAUCUAAUCUCAUACAACCUUUAAAUGGCAGGCUCUAGAGGGAAAAAGAGGAGUCAAAGACAUUUGAAGCGUAAGAGGGGUGUGACCGGCUGCUACUUUGAACGUGGAGGGGGCACAUGAGAAGGACUCUGUCGACUUUGAAGAGGUGAGCAUGGCCCUUAGUUGGCAGCCAGAAAGGAAAUGGAGACCUCCAAACUGGCUGACACCUUCGAUGAGCUGGAUUCCACAGCAACAUGAAUGAGGUUGGAAGGGGAUUCAUGCUCAGAGACUCUGGAACAGAUAGCUGCCUGGCUGCUUUCUGCCUUGUGAGGCUCCACGUGGGGAACCCAGCUUGGCCGUGCUGUGCCCAAACUUGUGACCCACAGGAACUGUGAGAUAAUAAAUGGUGUUGUUUUAAGCUGCUAAAUAGUUGAUAAUUCGUUACACAGGAACUGGAAACUAAUUCAAGUAAGAAGGUUCUAAUUCAAUCCAACCAACUAAAAUUUUGCCAUUCGUGUCUGGGUAAGAAGUUCUGAUCGUUUUUCCCUCAAAACCUAAGGACAGUCUUUUU